rnacentral:lncRNA from 1 species
CACUUUUGUUUAUAUAAAAAAAACAUAACACUCACAAUCUCACACAUUAUGGAAAGGGUCAGUCGUCCGACCAACAGCGCGACGAACCCACCGCUUCCAUGGCUCUCAUCUCCCUUUUUCUCUCACUCUUAUCUCUUAUUUUCUCAUUCUCUCACACUCUUCAAAUCCCAAUAAUGGUUCCUCGCGCACACAAAAAAAACCUCAUGUUUCAAACUUUCUCUUACUC